UAUUGAUAUCGAUAGGAAAAGAUCGAACGCCGUUAUCAAACUGUGAUGGGAUAUGAGGUCAAAGCAAAAAUAUUUCAUUAACACGUUUACUGCCAAUUACAAAAUAACUUAUAAUUCACCUCCCCAGAAGACUUUUUUUUCAUAUAAUUCAAUUUAGAAAUAAAAGUUUUUUUAAAAUUCUUCAUUUUCUAUACCUUUCAGGGAUAACUUUUCAUUUAAAUUAUCAUCAGGGCCGGAUUAAGCUAGGGGCUUUAAGGGGCUAUUGCCCCGGGCUCCAGGUCCAAGAGGGCUCCAUCAUUUGGAAAUCAUUCUGUAUUUUUUGAUGUGUUGAUACCACAAAUCUAACGUAUUGAUAUUAUUUUGUGAAUUUUUCCGGGUUUUUGAAUUCCUUAAGGGGGCCCCGUCAUUAUUAUAGCCCCGGGUCUUAUAAAUCUUAAUCCAGCCCUGAUUAUCAUUUUUAAUGAUUUAAUGCGAUUAAAUGGAAUUGUGGAAAUUGCCUUGGCAGUGAACGUGUUAAGAGCCAAAUUACCUUUGAAAAUGUACGUGUUAAAAUUUGUAUAUGUAAUGUCGUUAUAUUACAAAAUAGAUUAAGAAAAGCUGUAAAACGAGUGCAAAUUUUGGGCCUACAAAUCUUAUUCAUAGUAUUUUCGAUUAUUUACGUCAGAAUUUUUUGAACUAAAAAAAUAUUUUGUCAUUGUUCGUAUCCGAAUUGAUGUUUCUCGAGCCGGUCCUGGCGACGCCUUCGCUAGACGUCACGGUAUCGAUUUUCAAAAUAAACGAUAUAAGGCGUCUCGACGCCACGUUUGUACUACAACAUUUCACACAAACGCGGAGUAUCGAAAUGUUUAGUGUUAUUUGCGUUUAAAGUCUCUUUUAAAAGGACUUACAGAUGCUGUUCAUAAUGAGAUUAAUAUCAUCUUUAAAUUGGUGUUCUUAUAAACAUUUAGUGAUUUCCAGUUACCAUUAUCAGACUGUGUACUUUUUAAAUAUCCCCUAUUAAUCACUAAAAAAAAAAAAAAGUAAAAACUCGUAGUGUUUCAUCGUCAUCUAUCAACUUGUUGUUGACGAAAUUUUAUUUCCUCGAAACCGGGAAUUGAAAUAUUCGUGUUCGAAUACUCGAAAGGAAUCAGCGUUCAGUGCGCGCGUGGCUUGCGCCACUCAAAGUGACAUCAGCGUCUCGGAGUGGGAGACUCUCCAACUAAAUAUUUACCGUCCGAUCGGAGACGUUCAACGUCAGUUUGCAUCGAGUAAAUUUGCAGUAGACACACAUUUCUCAAAAGAAAAGUUAUUUUCUUUUUGUUUUUUUUUUGGUUGGUUACCAUUGUAUGGGUGAGUAGUAUAAUUAUUUACUAUACCUUCGUUAUGUUAAAAUCGUUUUAUAACCUAUAUUAGAUACCUACAUAUCUAUGUAUAUAUAUAUAUAUAUACACGUGUUCAAGGACGUAGCUGUGACAUAUUUUUAAAAUUUUAUUGUUCGAAUUAUUUACAUUCGAGCAGAAUGAAAAUAAUAAUUUUUGUUGCGUAAAAUCGUUUCACAUCCUACAAAGAAUUAUUUUUAUUUAAUUCUAUUUGGAUCGAGGCCAGAAAUUACAAAAAUAUUUUCGCAUAUGUUUCGCUUUCACUCUAUAUAAUAUAACCAAAUAUUUAUAUAAUGAAAAAAAUCUUUUGUUGUUUAGUUCUUUGAACUCGUCGUGAGUUAAUGAGUAAUAUUUUUUUUUUGGUAAUUGUUUUAUUGUAAAUUUAUAACGCAUUUGCAAUCUGGUGAUUAAUGAAUUAAUUCGCACGUUAUUUCCUUUGUUUUUACUAUUUAAAUUCGUUUCCUCAAUUUAUAUACAGUUUGUCCACGUAAGUUGACGGCAUAUGGGAAACAUUUUUAUUAUUAAUUUUACGAAAAAAAGUUAUUCUUUAUAAAAAGCAUAAUCAAUCUAGGAUGCACUGGAUGAUAAUUGUUUUUAAAAGUUUAUUUAGAAUUGUUUAAUCAAAUUUAUAAUUAAUAAAUGCAAAGCAUUAAUCUGCAAACUUAAAUUUCCAACGUUAUCGCAGAGAAAAUGUAAAAAAAAAUAUUUUUUUAAUGUAAAUAAACAAUGUUGAAUAUUUGAAACCUUUUUUUAAUUUUAAACAUCCUUUCUUUAUAACAAUUUUCGAUAUUGUCAAAAAGAAAGGUACUUUUUUGACAAACCUCGUAUACGACUGAAAAAAUUUAACAUCUAACGAUUGAAUUUUAGGUUUUGGACCAUGCAGAACUUUUUAUAAAGUAUAACUUUUUUUCGUAAAAUUAAUAAUAAAAAAGUUUCCCGUAUGCCGCCAACUUACGUGGACAUACUGUAUGUCAAAUGUAAAUACAAAUUUUAUAAUCCAAUUUUCUAUUAUUCAAUUUUAAUUUUUGUCCGCGUUUUCCAAUUUUUUAUCAAUUUUAUUUCAUUAAAUUAUUCAAUAAUAAUCGAUUCGUUAUUUGUAUGAACGGACUAUAUCUUUUUACUACUUUUAUCGAAAAAAUGACUAAACAUUUAAAAAGACUAACGUCAAAACAUCUUCUGACGGUUUUAAUAACUAGAAAAUUAAAAUAUUUUUGAAAAAAAAUCGCAAUAUAAACAAAAUUGGUGCAAAAAAAAUAAA